UGGAUGUGCAGGGCCCAGACUGGCACCUGAAGAUGCCCAAGGUGAAGAUGCCCAAGUUCAGUAUGCCUGGCUUCAAAGCAGAGGGCCCAGAGGUGGAUGUGAGCCUGCCCAAGGCUGACCUUGAUGUGUCAGGACCCAAGGUGGACAUUGAAGUUCCUGAUGUGAACAUUGAGGGACCAGAAGGAAAACUGAAGGGCUCUAAAUUUAAGAUGCCCAAGUUGAAUAUCAAAGCUGCC
rnacentral:lncRNA from 1 species